GUACUGUUCUAGCGAUUAUCACUCCAUUAGAAAAUUUGUGGAAGACAAAUUCAGAAGUCUAAAGCUUGGACUAGAACUAGCAGACAAGCUUGCAAGAAAUUUGGGUAAAACUGAAUAUGAGGGAGGAAAAUUAGGGAUUUGGACUCUUGAGAAAUUAUGGCAAUUAAAAAGAAAAAAUAAAAGAAAUAAAAAUAAUGUCUGCCCUUUUAAAAGAAAGAGCCCCAUUAAUGAUAAAUCAUUCCCAAGUUU
rnacentral:lncRNA from 1 species